GGUGCGGUGGCGAAGUGGAAACGCGGAUGUCUGCAAAACAUCUAUGCAGGGGUUCAAUUCCCCUCCGCACCU
rnacentral:tRNA from 1 species